rnacentral:rRNA from 1 species
ACUCAAAUGAAUUGACGGGGGCCCGCACAAGCGGUGGAGCAUGUGGUUUAAUUCGAUGCAACGCGAAGAACCUUACCUACCCUUGACAUCCUGGGAAGGCUUUAGAGAUAGAGCUGUGCCGAGAGGAACCCAGAGACAGGUGCUGCAUGGCUGUCGUCAGCUCGUGUCGUGAGAUGUUGGGUUAAGUCCCGUAACGAGCGCAACCCUUGCCCUUAGUUGCCAUCAUUGAGUUGGGCACUCUAAGGGGACUGCCGGUGAUAAACCGGAGGAAGGUGGGGAUGAGGUCAAGUCAUCAUGGCCUUUAUGGGUAGGGCGACACACGUGCUACAAUGGUCGUUACAAAGGGAAGCAAACCUGCGAGGGGGAGCAAAUCUCAGAAAGGCGAUCGUAGUCCGGAUUGGAGUCUGGAACUCGACUCCAUGAAGUUGGAAUCGCUAGUAAUCGCGGAUCAGCACGCCGCGGUGAAUACGUUCCCGGGCCUUGUACACACCGCCCGU